UAGGGAAUCUUCCGCAAUGGACGAAAGUCUGACGGAGCAACGCCGCGUGAGUGAUGAAGGUUUUCGGAUCGUAAAGCUCUGUUGUUAGGGAAGAACAAGUACAAGAGUAACUGCUUGUACCUUGACGGUACCUAACCAGAAAGCCACGGCUAACUACGUGCCAGCAGCCGCGGUAAUACGUAGGUGGCAAGCGUUGUCCGGAAUUAUUGGGCGUAAAGCGCGCGCAGGCGGUCCUUUAAGUCUGAUGUGAAAGCCCACGGCUCAACCGUGGAGGGUCAUUGGAAACUGGGGGACUUGAGUGCAGAAGAGAAGAGUGGAAUUCCACGUGUAGCGGUGAAAUGCGUAGAGAUGUGGAGGAACACCAGUGGCGAAGGCGACUCUUUGGUCUGUAACUGACGCUGAGGCGCGAAAGCGUGGGGAGCAAACAGGAUUAGAUACCCUGGUA
rnacentral:rRNA from 1 species